AGCCCCUUGGGGGUGAAGCGGUGAAUUCAAGCCCCGGUAAACGGCGGUGGUAACUAUAACCAUCCUAAGGUAGCGAAAUUCCUUGUCGGGUAAGUUCCGACCUGCACGAAUGGCGUAACGACUUCCCCGCUGUCUCGACCAGGAGCUCGGCGAAAUUGCAGUACGAGUAAAGAUGCUCGUUAAGCGCAGAAGGACGAAAAGACCCCGGGACCUUUACUAUACCUUGGUAUUGGCGUCAGUCGCGGAUUGUGUAGCAUAGGCGGGAGGCUUCGAGGCGCGGGCGCCAGCCCGCGCGGAGCCGCAAGGUGAAAUACCGCUCUGUUCUCGUUUGACGUCUCACCUCGAACGGUCAUCCUGUUCAGGGACAGUGCCUGGCGGGUAGUUUAACUGGGGCGGUUGCCUCCCAAAGAGUAACGGAGGCGCUCAAAGGUCCGCUCAGCCCGGUUGGCAAUCGGGUGUCGAGUGCAAUCGCACAAGCGGGCUUGACUGCGAGGACGGCGGUCCGAGCAGGGACGAAAGUCGGAGAUAGUGAUCCGGUGCCGGCGCACGGGCGCGGCAUCGCUCAACGGAUAAAAGGUACCCCGGGGAUAACAGGCUGAUCAUUCCCAAGAGUCCAUAUCGACGGGAUGGUUUGGCACCUCGAUGUCGGCUCGUCGCAUCCUGGGGCUGGAGCAGGUCCCAAGGGUUCGGCUGUUCGCCGAUUAAAGCGGCACGCGAGCUGGGUUCAGAACGUCGUGAGACAGUUUGGUCUCUAUCCUCUGCGCUCGUUGGAAUCCUGGGGAGGCCUGCCCAUAGUACGAGAGGACCUGGGUGGACGAGCCUCUGGUAUGCCGGUUGUCGCGCCAGCGGCACGGCCGGUUGGCUACGUUCGGGGAGGGAUAACCGCUGAAAGCCUCUAAGGGGGGAAGCCUGGUCCGAGAUUAGGAUUCUUUCGGUCUUGAACCGUUGAAGCCCGCCUGUGGGACGCGUGUGUGGAUGGCCGGAGGUGGAAGCCCCGCGAGGGGUGAACCCGACGGUACUUACGGGCGACGGCAAAUAGCG
rnacentral:rRNA from 1 species